rnacentral:rRNA from 1 species
GACAGAGGUGGCAAGCGUUGUUCGGAAUUACUGGGCUUAAAGGGCGAGUAGGCGGUGAGACAAGUCCGAGGUGGAAUCCUUUGGCUUAACCAGAGAACUGCCUUAGAUACUGUUUCACUUGAGUCAGUGAGGGGAGGGCGGAAUUCCCGGUGUAGCGGUGAAAUGCGUAGAUAUCGGGAGGAAGGCCAGUGGCGAAGGCGGCCCUCUGGUGCUGAACUGACGCUGAGGCGCGAAAGCGUGGGUAGCAAACAGG